rnacentral:rRNA from 1 species
GAUGAACGCUAGCGAUAGGCUUAACACAUGCAAGUCGAACGAGACCUUCGGGUCUAGUGGCGCACGGGUGCGUAACGCGUGGGAAUCUGCCCUUGGGUUCGGAAUAACUCGCCGAAAGGCGUGCUAAUACCGGAUGAUGUCGUAAGACCAAAGAUUUAUCGCCCAGGGAUGAGCCCGCGUAAGAUUAGGUAGUUGGUGAGGUAAGGGCUCACCAAGCCGACGAUCCUUAGCUGGUCUGGGGGGAGUGAUCAGCCACACUGGGACUGAGACACGGCCCACG